ACACUCCAGCCUGGGUGACGGAGCAAGACUCCAUCUCAAAAUAUAUAUAUAUAUAUUUUUUAGUAAAGCAAUUGGGCAGCAACAGAGCUCUUACGUCUUUCUAUUGAAUGGAAGAAAAACUCAGCAGAAGAAAUCUAUUGCUUCUGACAGAUCUUAGGGUAUAAUUUAUUCAGACUUGGGGCCUUGAGUUCAAUUUGAUUCAUUGAAAGCUCAGGACACAUUUUGGUUUGGUUUAAAGGCUUGCCCAUUUAGUUUUCUUAUUGAAGGGAUUUCUAACCCAGUACCUGGAAAAAGAAAGUGUUUCUAGAUUGAAGGAGUUUGCUGCACAUGUUCUCUCUUAUUAAAGAAAUACUCGCAUUUCUGACUUCAUAUUUCCCCUUCUCUGAGGGGACUUGUAUUCUCUUUCAUUGUGCAGGGGUAAGAUGCAUUUUGGAGAUGCAUUGCUUGAUUUUAACUUCUGGCUCUGUUUCUCUGACUGUGACUUCGUCAGAAAGCUAGUCACUCAGUGCCUUUCUAUGCUUCCAUUUCCUCAUCUGUAAAAACCUACAUACAAUAACCUACAGAAACUACUUAGGAUGGUGCCUGGCACAUAGUAAGCCCUUUAUGGGUGUUUGCUACCAGUAUUGUUAUUUCAUGAGCUCUCAAAGCACACAACCACAGGCCUGUUUUACUUCUGGUUGAGAUGAAGCUUGGAGGGCAGAGGGCAGACGCCUGAAGCUAAGCAGCUGAUUAAAAGUAGAAUAGAAAUAGAUGAGAGGAAACCAAAGUGCUUUACUCUUUAGAUACUUACCAAAGCAUGUUUCGCUGCAGACUAUGGGCUUGGGUAUGGCCAGAGGUCAAAGGCCCUCUUAUGUGCAGUGACAUUUCUGAGCACAGGGCUGAGUUAUAAAACCCUUGAAUGGAAGGUUUUGGCACUUGGAACACGGGUUGGGCUAGAAGGGCAGGGUUUUUAUAGAGGCGAUGCAUGGAACUGCUUAUGCUGGUGAAGAACCCAGACUAUUAUGACUCACUUGUCUCUUCAUUGCUUUGAACCAAGAACUGUUGUUUCCUUUUAAGUCCCUCUGUAGGAGCUGAGCUACAGAGUAGAGCCAAGAUAACUCUUUCAGGAAGACAGAGUGGCUUCAGUGAGUGUGAAUGGGAAUACUGCCUUGUUGGGCUCUGGGUCAAGUAUCCUGGACAAGCAGAAUAAGGAUUUUAUUUUACCAGGGUAGAAUUGCUUUUGGAAACUGGCAGCAUCCUUAAAAUCUUAAAUUUCAGAUAAGCUUUCCUUUUGUCUGUCUGCCAUUUUCAUUCUCUGAAAUCCAAGCUAAAUGUGAUGGUGUGACAAGCAGAGGACAGAAGAACAACUUUGGAAAGUAGAAAUUAAUGUGUCUGGGCUGCUACUUACAGAAGUAGGGGUCAUUUGGAGUUCAGUUUGCCUGAGGUCCUGCUAGAUCUUCUGGGAAAAACUGAAGGGGACUUUUGGACUGAUGUGAGGCCUUGUGUGGUAGGCAGACUUCUAAGAUAUAUUGCAGUGCUCUCCAACUCCUGGUCCUUACUCUUUAGGUAAGCUCCUCCUCCAGGUCAAUAGGCCAGACCUGUUGACCUGCUUCUCAUUAAUGGAAUAUGACAAAAGCAAUGGGAUGUCACUUUCAUGAUGAGGCUGCAAGAGGCUGUGAUUUCUACUUUGCUAGGAAUCUCUCUUACUGCUGCUUUCUCCUUCUCUCUCUCUCGACUUCUUGACUUGUGUGCUUUGAUGCUGAAACCAGCUGCCGUGAUGGAGCAACCUGCAAGGCAAGAAAUCAAGGGCAGCUUCUUAGUCAGCAUCCAGCAGAGAACUGAGUCCUCAGCCCAACAGCCCAAAAGGAAGUGAAACCUGCCAACAGCCACUGGAUGAGUUUGGAAGUAUAUCUUGUCCCAGUUGAACUCUGCGUUGACUGUAGCCCAGCUGGGGUAAUUUUCAAUGCAGCAAUAGAUAAAGAAUAUACCAGCCGAAUUCCCAGUUUUAAAGGAGAAGUACGAGAAGACCCCUAAUGGUUAGCAAGAUAUAUAGAACACAGAGGACCUAGCAGCGCACUUUUCCAGUCAGGUUCAAGCUCAAAGGCCUAAAGUUUUGCAAACAUCUGAUGAAGAGGAAGAUUUUUGAGACUGUGCCAGCCUAUUACAUAAAGGAAACAUAACCAAGAAUUUUGUCUAAAGGUUUUUAUUUGAAACAAAGCAAGAGCUUCUUUUCCCCACUCCAAAUUAAAACACAGCGCAACAGGGGCCACAUUUAUUUGGCAGGACAGUUCCAACAUGUGAACAUUCUCCACCUCACUGCGGUUGGGGUGACUUGACUCAUAAGCAGCUGUUCUUACACAAAAUAUUAACGUGAACUAUGUGUCACACAAAAGGCAGUGGUCUUGAUUGUGGAUGUGAGCCAGCAUGUUCUAUAAAUGCUGAAAGGUGGGAGGAGCACAAAUAAAAGCCACUCUU